UACGUAGGGUGCUAGCGUUGUCCGGAAUCAUUGGGCGUAAAGAGCGUGUAGGCGGUCCGGUAAGUCCGCUGUGAAAGUCGGGGGCUCAACCCUCGAAUGCCGGUGGAUACUGUCGGGCUAGAGUGCGGAAGAGGCGAGUGGAAUUCCUGGUGUAGCGGUGAAAUGCGCAGAUAUCAGGAGGAACACCUAUUGCGAAGGCAGCUCGCUGGGACGUUACUGACGCUGAGACGCGAAAGCGUGGGGAGCAAACAGG
rnacentral:rRNA from 1 species